ACUUCUCUCUCCUGCCGCCAUUUGAAGGACGUGUCUGCUUCCACUCCUGCCGUGAUUGUCAGCUUCCUGAGGUCUCCUCAGCCAUGCUGAACUGCGCUGUUCUUGCUGGCUGGUGCCCCAGGGCCUGGAGAGGUCUGAAGAAACCUGGGAGCCAGCAGCCCUGGGCUCCGCUCUGGGUUCUGAAAGCCCAUUCCAUGCUCUGCGGCUCCUCCCACCCCACCUCUUCUCAGCCUUGCAGCUCAAGGGUUGAUCUCAGGAGUCCAGGACCCAGGAGAGGGAAGAAUCUGAGGAACACAGAACAGUGAGCGUUGCCCACACCCCAUCUCCCGUCACCACAUCUCCCCUCACCCUCACCCUCCCUGCCUGGCCCUGGACCCCAUCCCAGGACCUCCCUAUCAGCUGACUUCUUCCAGUGUCUCGCAGGCCCCUCUGGGCUCCUCCCUCCCCUGGCUUUUCCUACCACUCCCCCUCUAUCGGCGUCUAUCUGUAGGUGCCCUGGGAUUUAUAAAACUGGGUUCUGAAUGCUGAAUAAGAGACGGUAAGAGCCAAGGCAAAGGACAGCACUGUUCUCUGCCUG
rnacentral:sRNA from 1 species